rnacentral:rRNA from 1 species
GACGAACGCUGGCGGCGUGCUUAACACAUGCAAGUCGAACGGAAAGGCCCUGCUUUUGUGGGGUGCUCGAGUGGCGAACGGGUGUGUAACACGUGAGUAACCUGCCCUUGACUUUGGGAUAACUUCAGGAAACUGGGGCUAAUACCGGAUAGGAGCUCCUGCUGCAUGGUGGGGGUUGGAAAGUUUCGGCGGUUGGGGAUGGACUCGCGGCUUAUCAGCUUGUUGGUGGGGUAGUGGCUUACCAAGGCUUUGACGGGUAGCCGGCCUGUGAGGGUGACCGGCCACAUUGGGACUGAGAUACGGCCCAGACUCCUACGGGAGGCAGCAGUGGGGAAUAUUGCACAAUGGGCGGAAGCCUGAUGCAGCAACGCCGCGUGCGGGAUGACGGCCUUCGGGUUGUAAACCGCUUUCGCCUGUGACGAAGCGUGAGUGACGGUAAUGGGUAAAGAAGCACCGGCUAACUACGUG